UACAGAGGGGGCAAGCGUUGUUCGGAAUUACUGGGCGUAAAGGGCGCGUAGGCGGCCUGUUAAGUCGAACGUGAAAUCCCCGGGCUCAACCCGGGAACUGCGUCCGAUACUGGCAGGCUUGAAUCCGGGAGAGGGAUGCGGAAUUCCAGGUGUAGCGGUGAAAUGCGUAGAUAUCUGGAGGAACACCGGUGGCGAAGGCGGCAUCCUGGACCGGCAUUGACGCUGAGGCGCGAAAGCCAGGGGAGCAAAAGGG
rnacentral:rRNA from 1 species